rnacentral:lncRNA from 1 species
AUACACACCCAAGAGUUACCAUGCAUGAUCCGUGAAUGAUGGGUAUCAGGCCUGGACCAGGUUUGAUUCUAUAACGGUCCAGCAUCGACGGCCAUCACUGCUGAAUCGAGGCUGUUGCUCUGGCCUGGACCAGUAUCUAUUUCAGUCCCGAUGUAGUCAUAGCUGAUACAGUAAUGUCUGUUCGUCAGCACUGGUCCAGGCUGUAUAUCAGUACUGGAUCAGAUCGAUGCUUUUCAAGAUGGCAGCCCCGCGUGGACUAUCUGACAUGUUUUGUUAAAGAAAAUAAUCUUAAUCUGACUCUUUAAGAGAAAUCUCGUUGGCUGUAUACACUAGGGCUAAAUCACUGGAUGUUAUUAUUGAGCCAAACAUUGAAACAGAGCCAGAAGACCUUUCUGCAAUAAUCAUGACACUAGUGAAGACGAUGAGAAAUCAGGCGUAAAAAUGGUUCACUACAUGUGAUUGUAACUAUGUUUUUAAUUAGGGUGAAUGUAUUAGUGAUCAUGAUGAUGAAGAUAUUGUACUGAGAGACUUAUGAAUGAUAGUCACAAGUGUGAAUUUUUGAUACGGAAGAUUAUUCUGGAAAUAUUAGUAUAGUAGGUGCUCCUUUAAUUCAUAUUAAUUUAUUAAUUUAGCAAGGUCACUGGUAUACAUUCUAUAGUUACCUUAUCUCACUAAGUUUCAA